ACCGGCGCACGGGUGAGUAACACGUAUGGAACCUGCCCGUAGCAGGGGGAUAAGCGGAAGAAAUUCCGUCUAAUACCGCGUAAUAACUCCGAGAGGCAUCUCCUGGGGUUUAAAGGGUAACACCGGCUACGGAUGGCCAUGCGGCGCAUUAGCUAGUUGGCGGGGUAACGGCCCACCAAGGCGACGAUGCGUAGGGGUUCUGAGAGGAAGGUCCCCCACACUGGUACUGAGACACGGACCAGACUCCUACGGGAGGCAGCAGUGAGGAAUAUUGGUCAAUGGGCGCGAGCCUGAACCAGCCAAGUCGCGUGAGGGAAGACGGUCCUAUGGAUUGUAAACCUCUUUUGUCGGGGAGCAAAAGACGCCACGCGUGGCGUUCCGAGAGUACCCGAAGAAAAAGCAUCGGCUAACUCCGUGCCAGCAGUCGCGGUAAUACGGAGGAUGCGAGCGUUAUCCGGAUUUAUUGGGUUUAAAGGGUGCGCAGGCGGAAGAUCAAGUCAGCGGUAAAAUUGAGAGGCUCAACCUCUUCGAGCCGUUGAAACUGGUUUUCUUGAGUGAGCGAGAAGUAUGCGGAAUGCGUGGUGUAGCGGUGAAAUGCAUAGAUAUCACGCAGAACUCCGAUUGCGAAGGCAGCAUACCGGCGCUCAACUGACGCUCAUGCACGAAAGUGUGGGUAUCGAACAGGAUUAGAUACCCUGGUAGUCCGCACAGUAAACGAUGAAUACUA
rnacentral:rRNA from 1 species